GGGGCGCCCACCUGACCCCAUGCCGAACUCAGAAGUGAAACGCCGUAGCGCCGAUGGUAGUGUGGGGUCUCCCCAUGCGAGAGUAGGGAACUGCCAGGC
rnacentral:rRNA from 1 species